rnacentral:misc_RNA from 1 species
GAUGAAGAACGCAGCGAAUUGCGAUAAGUAAUGUGAAUUGCAGAAUUCAGUGAAUCAUCGAAUCUUUGAACGCACAUUGCGCCCUUUGGUAUUCCUUAGGGCAUGCCUGUUCGAGCAUCAUCUAAACCUUCAAGCCCUGCUUGGUGUUGGGUGCCUGUCCCGCCUCCGCGCGUGGACUCACCUCAAAUCCAUUGGCGGCCCCCGCGUCGGCCACGAGCGCAGCAGAAACGCGAACUCGUGAGCCCGUCCGGGCGGCUCCCAGAAGCUAACCCCCAAUUUUUGACCUCGGAUCAGGUAGGGAUACCCGCUGAACUUAAGCAUAUCAAUAAGCGGAGGA